rnacentral:rRNA from 1 species
GAUGAACGCUGGCGGCGUGCCUAAUACAUGCAAGUCGAACGAACAUACGAGAAGCUUGCUCCCCGGACGUUGACGGCGGUCGUGUGAGGAACACGGGGGUAACCUACCUAUAAGACUUGCACAACAUCGGGAAAUCGGAGCUAGUACCGGCUGGUAUAUUCAAACACAUGGUUCAAUAGGGAUAGACGGUUUGGGUGUUACUUAAUGAUGGAUCCGCGCCGCCUUAGCUAGUUGGUAAGGUAAGGGGGUACCAAGGCGACGAUGCGUAACCGCCCUGAGAGGGUGAUUCGCUAGACUGGCACUGAGACCCGGUCCAGACACCUACAGGGGGACGCAGCAGGGAAUCCUACGCGAUGGGCGAGAGCGUGACGGAGCAAAGCCGCGUGAGCGAUGAAGGUCUUCGGAUCCUAAAACUAUGUAGUAAGGGAAGAACAAAUGUGUAAGUAACAAUGCACGUCUUGACGGUACCUAAUCAGAAAGCCACGGCUAACUACGUG